UCUGUCUGUCCCUCGGCUCUGGCUGCCCGGUGUUCUCCACCCCUGCGUUAGCACUCUGUAGUCUGGGGCCGUCCUAGGGCCGUCCCGGGGACGUCCCGGGGCUAGCAACCAAGGGGGCUCUCUCGGAUGCUCUGUGGAUCGCCGCUUCGCCCUUACUUUGGGGACGGUCACACGCGCCCCGCUUCCCCCGGUCGCUUUAGAUCAGGCGUCUGCGCCCUCCCGGGCUCCUCACCCCCACCCCCAGAGUCAAAUGUGGGCCUCUCCUGGAAAUCCUUUGCGAAGGGGACAAACUUUUGAGUGGACGAAAAUCUAUUGGAGCCUGUCCAGAGCAGCAGGCCCUGCUCUGAGACCCUGAGGCUGGCUGGCAUACACUCUGCCUCUGGAGUUUAUAAUGAGGAUGCAAAUACAGAGAUUCGAAGAAGAGGCCCUAAGUAAGAAGCUGGGGAUUUGCUAACCAGGGGCAGGGUACCAGUUGUGACUUUGACCUUUAUAGCCUUAACUCAUUGUAGACAAUUCUGCACUUUCCAUUUCCACUCCAUCCCUGUUUCUGGGAGAGAGGUGCUGGU